CGUCCCUCCCCCACCUCAGCCCAGAGGACCAAAGGAGGGUCAGAGAGGGGCAUGGGAGAUGCUGGACUCACACUUACCUUUGGGACGUAGACGAGCUCACAUCAGCUGAAGGCUAUCGCCUGGGACUCCUCGGAAGCGUGAACAAGCCGCCACCACGCGAAGGCACUGGGGCACAGCCAGCGCGAGGCAGCGAGGUCCCUUCCCAGGGCUUGUUAACACUGUAACCCGGCAGUCGGAGGGAAGCAGCUCCGACUGCCCAGAGCCUACCUAGCCGCUCAUCUGAUGACUCUCUGGCUUCUACACACAGUUGGAGUUCCGCUUGAAACCUGGAUUUAGAGGGGCUCUCUCGCUGCCAUGACGCUCAAUCAAAGCACCUAGAGUGGUCUGGCCGAGACCAGAGGGGGCACCAAGCAGAGCAAGGACAGGGGAAGGCACUGGGAGAGCACCAGAAUUGGAAACAGAGCAGCCGUUUGGACUUGGGCAGGAAGCAGCCGAGCACAGCUUUGGAUCCUUCUUUAGGGAGAUCGAGUUAUGGAUUUAUGGUCCUGGUCAAGCUCGGCCCAGCCCCAGCCAGGGGCGGGCUCAGCAGCAAGAGUUCUGGUGGCAGCGGCGGCAGUAGCAGCGGUAGCAGCGGCAGCAGCAGCUUGAUCCUCUGACUCUCUUCGGUGACGGGUAUUCUUGGGUGGAUAAUACGGAUUACGUUGUUAUUGCUUAAGAAUACGCGUAGUCGAGGAGAGUACCAGCGGCAGGCAGGCAGCGGCCGCCCCCCCCCAGCCCACCAGCUGGCCUCUGAACGCCUGUGGUUGUCAAGGUAGCACUUUUUUUUUUUUAUCUUUUCCUUUCCUCGGUGUUGUCGCGCUUGGUCGUGUGUUAAGCGAUUACAAGUCACAUCCCACAAGAAAGGCUCUGUGCGCCGCACCUCCGGUGACCGGGGCUGUAG